AACGAACGCUGGCGGCAUGCCUAACACAUGCAAGUCGAACGAGACCUUCGGGUCUAGUGGCGCACGGGUGCGUAACGCGUGGGAACCUGCCCUUAGGUUCGGAAUAACUCCCCGAAAGGGGUGCUAAUACCGGAUAAUGUCUUCGGACCAAAGAUUUAUCGCCUUUGGAUGGGCCCGCGUUGGAUUAGCUAGUUGGUAGGGUAAAAGCCUACCAAGGCGACGAUCCAUAGCUGGUCUGAGAGGAUGAUCAGCCACACUGGGACUGAGACACGGCCCAGACUCCUACGGGAGGCAGCAGUGGGGAAUAUUGGACGAUGGGCGAAAGCCUGAUCCAGCCAUGCCGCGCGAGUGAUGAAGGCCUUAGGGUUGUAAAGCUCUUUUACCCGGGAUGAUAAUGACAGUACCGGGAGAAUAAGCUCCGGCUAACUCCGUG
rnacentral:rRNA from 1 species